CCUGCGAUUGAGGAAGUGUCCCCAGCAGCAGUGGCGAGGCGGAGGGACUGGCUUUGGGGGACGCAGGAGAGAGCAACACUGGAAACAGAGACAGGAGGGAGGAAACAUGCAUGCGAAGACACCAGGGUCACUUCUCAGGACACCCAUUUCACACAAACCGUCUUCUCCACAUCUGCUUCCCAGCGCACCAGCUCUCAGAGAUCAGGUGCCAGGAGUGAUCUGAGGAAAUGGGCUCUAAAACGGAACUGUGGCCACUCCCUCGGGCAGUUGUGGGAUUGUGGGGCCCAGCAUCAGCCUGCCAGCUAGAAACCCAGCCCCGUUCCUGGAGGCAGGUGCAGGUGGAGGAGAGAAAAGCAGAGGCGGACGCCUGGACAUGACUGUGAGAAAGCAGCUCUCCACACAAGUCUGUGUCUUCGGCCCUGGCAAGUCCUCUGUGACCACAUCAGGGGCUUCAGUGGGCACGUGAGACCUGACCAUUGGAUAGGACAUCUGAGUUAAUGCUCUCGAAACCUUGAAAGCCCGCUGGGCACCCUGAAGGCCCGUAGAGGUGGCCCUGCCCUUUUGUGAGGAUGUUCUCAUCCUUUAUUUGAACGUGAGGCAUCGCCAAACAACACAGGCCCCGGAAGGACCUGCCCCAACUCCCACUCCCACCAGACCAGUAACUAGAGUCCAGUGCAAACAGCACAUGGCAGGAAGAGCUGGGCCUGCUGACAGGAGAAAGGGAAUAGAUGCCCCAUGGGGGCUGCAGGAUCAUGUACUGGCCAAGCUGGAAAUGGUUUGCAGGACGGGAUCCUAAGGCGCAAAAGAUAAAGAGGAGUAAGUGUGAAUUUAUUUAUAUGGGAGCCGCUCCCUGACACGUGUGAUUCACCGCCUGGCAAGGGCUCUGGGAGGAGGUGUCACCAUGCUGCUAGGGUGACUCUUGGAACUUUGGAGAAAAUUAUGGUCCACACAAAGUAGAGCUGGAAUGCCAGGCCUGUGCCGUAGAUGGUGGAAGAAGUGGUGAGCCCAGUCUCAAUCCUUGAGCCAGUUUUCUGCCAUAGAACCUGCUCAUUAAAGAGAAGGUAGGUCCUCGGGGGCCCCUGUGCAAGUGAACACAGGAGGGAUUCCCACAGGCCUUUGCCAGAGGGGCCUAUGGUCAUAUGUUUAGGAAACCACGAACUGGAAACGCGGGACACUCCAGAACAGAAGUGCCUUGGCCCUGCAGUCACCUCGUGCCUCGAGUCCAUCAGGCAGGAAAGGAGCCGUCCUCCUGCAGAGUCCUUGGCCCUGACCAUCCAGAGGAGCCCCUGUUGGACACAGUGGGGCCAAAGGAGAAUAUAUUUGGUACCAGGUCAUCCUUGUGCUGUCUCAUGGCCCGUGUUGCAGGGAAGUGGACAAAUGCAGUGUCCUGACUGAAGAAGGGCCUGUGGCUGCGGGGGGAAUGACCUGCAUCGCAGGAGUGCCAAGCGAGGGAGAAGGCACCCCAGGACUGGCAGAGGGGCAGGCAUAGCAUUCAAGGGCUGUCCUAGGCAUCAGGGCCACAGCAGUGAACAACAUGGGUGGGAGCUCUUGCCCUUAUGAAGACUGUAUUCUAGCGGGAGAGACAGACAAUGAACAUGAUCGGGACUGGGAAGGCGCUCCCGUGCACCUGUGUGUCGACCCUGCUUUUUCUCCCCUCCACUAUGGGCGUAGGUUGUAGCCUUGGAAACAACAGAACUGGUUCGGGGAUCAGGGCAGUGCGAUGAGGAGAGUCUAGGAGAGCAUUGAGAUGGCAGAUUGCACACCCGAGUUCUUCCUUGGCCGUGCUCUUACGUACCCCCGUCCCAUAAAGCAGAAAUACAGUUUCCUCCUUCCCAAAUCUCGCAGUCCCUACAGCCUGGAAAGAAUCACCCACGGGGGACCCAGCGCCAACUCUGCACGCCACUGGACUGCUUCUUACGAUAGCUCUACCAGAUGGAAAAUGACUGCAACCUCCAUCACUCAUGUUGGCUGGGAAUCGGAAUCUCUCCCCAGGUAUUAAGCCAAAGCUCCAUUCCAUGUCAUCGGCUCUGAUUGGGUCGUGGACCCUAAACCAACCAUUGUCAUCAGAUGAAUAGAACACACUGAUUGACUUGG